rnacentral:rRNA from 1 species
UAGGGAAUCUUCGGCAAUGGACGAAAGUCUGACCGAGCAACGCCGCGUGAGUGAAGAAGGUUUUCGGAUCGUAAAACUCUGUUGGUAGAGAAGAACGUUGGUGAGAGUGGAAAGCUCAUCAAGUGACGGUAACUACCCAGAAAGGGACGGCUAACUACGUGCCAGCAGCCGCGGUAAUACGUAGGUCCCGAGCGUUGUCCGGAUUUAUUGGGCGUAAAGCGAGCGCAGGUGGUUUAUUAAGUCUGGUGUAAAGGCAGUGGCUCAACCAUUGUAUGCAUUGGAAACUGGUAGACUUGAGUGCAGGAGAGGAGAGUGGAAUUCCAUGUGUAGCGGUGAAAUGCGUAGAUAUAUGGAGGAACACCGGUGGCGAAAGCGGCUCUCUGGCCUGUAACUGACACUGAGGCUCGAAAGCGUGGGGAGCAAACAGGAUUAGAUACCCUGGUAGUCCACGCCGUAACGAUGAGUGCUAGAUGUAGGGAGCUAUAAGUUCUCUGUAUCGCAGCUAACGCAAUAAGCACUCCGCCUGGGGAGUACGACCGCAAGGUUGAAAC